UUAUGGUUAUGGUAUGGAGCACUGGUGCGUCGUUUUAACUGUAAAAUACAUGAUUGUGAUUAGUGGCACUUUUAUGACAUUGAUGCUACAAUGUUUUUUUGAUGACGUUUGUCCGAAGCUCAGAUAGAGAAGGUUGUUUUAGGUAGUUGGAAGCUAACAUAAAACUUAGUCUAUUCUUUAUGACGUGGAUCAGAGAUGGUAAUGGUAUAUUGUUAGGAGACAAAUUAAUAGGUCUGAAGUUCAUAGUGGAAUGAGAUGCCUUUAAUCACAAGUAGGAUUAAAUGAGCAUCACAAAACCCAAUUUUGGAAGGAUUUAGAAAGGUUUAAUCCAGGGCUACAAUUGGGGGCAAAGAUGUUUUUCUAUUAUUAUUACUUUUUUAAAAUGAGAUUUAAAUGGUCAUGUGGUGGUAGUGAUUUAGUGAAGCUUAGUGGCUAACUGGCUAUGAAGGGUUAUGUAUGUGUGCUAGUGCUUAUUUUGGAAGCAGGACGAGCAUCUUAUCAUAGCAUUAGGAAUGAAUGCAUUAGAGACAAGGUUGGGGUAUUGUUUAUCACAGAAAAGAUGAUAUAAUCUCACUUUAGAUGAUUUGGGCAUGUGGAGAAGACUUGUAGAAGUGCUAGUAAGAAAUAUAACAAGUGGAGGGUAGCUUAAUAUCUAGAAUAGAGGGGACCUAGAUAAAUUAUAGGUUAAACUAUGAAAGAUAUGUAGAUUUCAAUAGAUUGAAAGUGAAUUUGAUUUAUGAUAUGACAUUAUAGCGCUGUCUGAUUUUUGUAGCUGAUCUCACCUAGUUGGAGAAAGCUUAAUUGUUGUCAACUCAUAAUAUAAAUCAUGGGAGGGAAAUUUUGUAUUAUGAUGACUCAUGGAAAUAGAAUCUUCGAUAUCAGUAAGGUGCAGCAUGUUUCUGCAUUUCGCAUGUGUUGUAGGCUUGUAGCAAUGUACUGUGUCAAAUAGACUCCCUUAAUUUAGUGACCUGUUUUGAGAGACCCUUCACUUUUCUGCAUGCUUAUUUCAUAUCUUUGCUGGCAACAAUGUACAGAAGGUAAUUGACUAUCAUCAAUAUAUUCCUUCUUUGACUGGUAAUUUGCAUUUUUAUGGUAAGAAAGGAUGUUUCACUGUUAAAAUGUAGGGAGAAAGUUCAGGAACAGAGUUCCAACUACAGAGAUGAUUACAGAAAAUUUUAAAGUAAGCUAUAAAUGUU